rnacentral:rRNA from 1 species
AAUGAACGUUGGCGGCGUGGAUUAGGCAUGCAAGUCGAGCGAGAACCGUAGCAAUACGGGGACAGCGGCGCAAGGGACAGUAAUACGUAGAUACGUACCCUCCGGCUCGGGAUAGCUCGCCGAAAGGCAAGGUAAUACCGAAUAACAUCUCCGGAUCAAAGGUGUGAUUCCACCGGGGGAGCGCUCUGCGUCCUAUUAGCUUGUUGGUAGGGUAACGGCCUACCAAGGCGAUGAUGGGUAGCGGGUGUGAGAGCACGACCCGCGUCACUGGGACUGAGACACUGCCCAGACACCUACGGGUGGCUGCAGUCGAGGAUCUUCGGCAAUGGACGCAAGUCUGACCGAGCGACGCCGCGUGCGGGAUGAAGGCCUUCGGGUUGUAAACCGCUGUCAGUGGGGAGGAAGGCUCCGUGAAGAGCGGGGUUUGACCUAUCCGCAGAGGAAGUGUGGGCUAAGCUCGUGCCAGCAGCCGCAGUAAAAC